UACGUAGGGUGCAAGCGUUGUCCGGAAUUAUUGGGCGUAAAGAGCUUGUAGGCGGUUUGUCGCGUCUGCUGUGAAAUUUCGGGGCUCAACCCCGAACUUGCAGUGGGUACGGGCAGACUAGAGUGUGGUAGGGGAGACUGGAAUUCCUGGUGUAGCGGUGAAAUGCGUAGAUAUCAGGAGGAACACCUGUGGUGUAGACAGCUUACUGGACCAUAACUGACGCUGAGGCACGAAAGCGUGGGUAGCAAACAGG
rnacentral:rRNA from 1 species